rnacentral:rRNA from 1 species
UGGGGAAUAUUGGACAAUGGGGGGAACCCUGAUCCAGCAAUGCCGCGUGUGUGAAGAAGGCCUGCGGGUUGUAAAGCACUUUCAGUGGGGAGGAAUAUUGUGUUGUUAAUAGCAAGACGAUUGGACGUUACCCACAAAAGCAGCACCGGCUAACUCCGUGCCAGCAGCCGCGGUAAUACGGAGGGUGCAAGCGUUAAUCGGAAUGACUGGGCGUAAAGGGUGCGUAGGUGGUUUGUUAAGUUAUCUGUGAAAUACCUGGGCUUAACCUAGGGCGGUCAGAUAAAACUGAUAAACUAGAGUAUGGGAGAGGAUAGUGGAAUUUCCGGUGUAGCGGUGAAAUGCGUAGAGAUCGGAAGGAACACCAGUGGCGAAGGCGGCUAUCUGGCCUAAUACUGACACUGAGGCACGAAAGCGUGGGGAGCAAA